AUUGUCUGGAGCAGCCUCAGCUGGGAUCACCACCCACUCCCCCUUUCUUUUCUCCUCUUCAGGAGCUGGAGCUGUGGUUCCUGCUCCUUUCCCAAGCUGCCUGAGGAUCACUGGAUGGCCACCUGAGCACGCAGCCCAGCUCUGCCUGGAUUGGCACUGCACCAGACAGCAUCAAGAGAGCACUUGUAGCACAAAUCCAGGGGAGGAGAGGUCUGGUGCUCAUCUGAGAGGGUGCUGUGAUGACCUUCAUGGAUGGAUGAACUCAUCUGGUAGCUGCUCCUAAGGAUCCUAAUGGCUUAAAUGAGUGGGAACUGAUGAAACAAUCUGUACUUCAAACAGCUUUCUCCAAAAUUCCUGACAUUCAGCUGUAACCAUUGUUUACCCAUUUUAGGAAAUUAGAGGAUAUAAUCUAUGCUUCAUUAUGUUGUUACUGCAGUUUAAAACCAGAGCAAAUUAAGGGAUCUCACUGUAAUAUUUGAGCAAAGAGGAAAUGACACCAUUGUUGAAGAGUUUUCAGCUAUUUGAGGACUGAAAACAGAAGUUCAGUACACUGCAAAUGGAGAUUGCAAAACUUCUUGAACCAUCUUAGUUUUGGUUCUCUCAUGCAAUUACUAGAAGGAAAAGAUGUGAGAGGGGAGGAAGAUGUGAAGGAAUAAAUAUAGAUGACAUUGCAGAAGGUAAUAGCAGCUGCAGCUGGGGGCAGAAGCAGAGAGUAAAGAUCCAG